CUACGGGCCGCACCAGUGGGGAAUAUUGCACAAUGGGGGAAACCCUGAUGCAACGAUGCCGCGUGAACGAAGAAGGCUUUCGAGUCGUAAAGUUCUGUUCUUAGGGAAGAAAAUGACGGUACCUAAGGAGAAAGCACCGGCUAAAUACGUGCCAGCAGCCGCGGUAAUACGUAUGGUGCAAGCGUUGUCCGGAAUUACUGGGCGUAAAGAGUUCGUAGGCAGUCAAAUAAGUCAGGAGUGAAAGGCUACGGCUCAACCGUAGUGAGCUUUUGAAACUGUUUGACUUGAGUACUGGAGAGGAAAGUGGAAUUCCUAGUGUAGCGGUGAAAUGCGUAGAUAUUAGGAGGAACACCAGUGGCGAAGGCGGCUUUCUGGACAGUAACUGACGCUGAGGAACGAAAGCGUGGGGAGCAAACAGGAUUAGAUACCCCUGUAGUC
rnacentral:rRNA from 1 species